AUUGAACGCUGGCGGCAUGCCUUACACAUGCAAGUCGAACGGUAACGGGCCUUCGGGUGCCGACGAGUGGCGAACGGGUGCGUAAUACAUCGGAACGUGCCCGAUCGUGGGGGAUAACGAGGCGAAAGCUUUGCUAAUACCGCAUACGAUCUACGGAUGAAAGCAGGGGACCUCAAGGCCUUGCGCGGACGGAGCGGCCGAUGGCAGAUUAGGUAGUUGGUGGGAUAAAAGCUUACCAAGCCGACGAUCUGUAGCUGGUCUGAGAGGAUGAUCAGCCACACUGGGACUGAGACACGGCCCAGACUCCUACGGGAGGCAGCAGUGGGGAAUUUUGGACAAUGGGCGCAAGCCUGAUCCAGCCAUGCCGCGUGCAGGAUGAAGGCCUUCGGGUUGUAAACUGCUUUUGUACGGAACGAAAAGCCUUCUUUUAAUACAGGAGGGUCAUGACGGUACCGUAAGAAUAAGCACCGGCUAACUACGUG
rnacentral:rRNA from 1 species